UGAUUAUCACGCCACGCCACCGCCCCACUUUAAACUACUCGGCGGUAGUGUAUAUAAAUGCGUCCGAGAUCUUGAUUCCGGCAUAACACAUCUUUUUUUACAGAUCAAUUUUUUGUUUUCAUUUUAAUCUUCAAAAACCAACCAACAUAUCAAAAAUGGGCGCUGAAAAAGUAUCCAUGAACAUCGUUGUCGUUGGACAAGUCCAAUCUGCCAAAGCCACCAAGACCGUCGCCAAGGCCACACCAGCCACCAACCAACUGAUGAACUGUUAAUUAUAAUGUAAUUCAUACAUUGCAAAGCUCAAAAAUUCCAUAGCCCAAACAGUGCAAUAAUAAUAUGUAAUUCAUAUCAGUAUUGACACCGUAAAAUAAAUCACUCAUGAAUAUAA